rnacentral:rRNA from 1 species
UACGAAGGGUGCAAGCGUUACUCGGAAUUACUGGGCGUAAAGCGUGUGUAGGUGGUUUCCUAAGUCAGGUGUGAAAUCCCAGGGCUCAACCCUGGAACUGCAUUUGAUACUGGGAGACUAGAGUGUGGAAGAGGAUAGUGGAAUUCCCGGUGUAGCGGUGAAAUGCGUAGAUAUCGGGAAGAACAUCGGUGGCGAAAGCGCUCUACUGGACCGCAACUGACACUCAGGGACGAAAGCUAGGGGAGCGAAUGGG